GGAACUCUUGGCCUCUGGGCUCCAUCUUGGAAAAGAGGCUGUGGACAGGUUGGAUGGACAGCAAGGGACAAGGAGAUUCACCAGGUCUGACUGUAUGCAACCAAGCCCUUUUGAAUGCAACUCCCAAUUUGCCAGGGAACGACGACAAAUACAAGAAGCAUCUACUGUACAUGAAAACUCUCUUCCCCAUUAUUCCUUGAUGACGCAUUUGGAAAAGUGGUUCACACAUGCAAGACUUUCUGCAUCUGAACAGAGAGGGGGAAGAGAUGAGGAUUGCUCAUUUCCAGAAGUGAAAAUCACCAAAAGAAACAGAACAUCUUUAGGUCAUUCCCCUUCCCUCUCAUUUUAGCAAACUCUUAAUGAGGAGAGGAACCCCCCCGCCUUUUUAAUGGCAUUUAU